CGGCCUGAGUCAGGCACCUUACCUUUCAUCUAAUCUAAGCAUGAAUGAGAGGGUGGAGGGAACCAGGACUCCUUGUUCAAAAACAACAGAGGGGGUGGGGAUCCACUGGGGGAACACACAAGUGCUUCUGGAUCUGUGGUCAAAGGCAAAUCCAGGCUGCUUCUCCAUCGAAAACUGCGUAUCUCAGGAACUCAGGAAGGCAACUCUCUAUGAGGAGAAAAGACUUUUAGAUUUACCUCAAGAUACCUCUUUUAGCCUAUACCACUUAUCUUGAAAGAAGAGAUUGAAACUUGACAGUAUUUUAGAACCCAAAGUGCUAUCGAGCCUCGUUUUCCACAUUUCCGACAAUUCAACAAGCCAUGUGUCAUUUUCAUUCAAUAUAUGCGGUAAAACGCUGGAUAUGUUGACCAGGAUUACAAAGACUAUCGACCAGGCCAGCAGGAGCAGGAAGCAAGGCCUUGGCACCCCCACCCUCUGGCUCACUUCCACCGUGCGCAGCACACGUCCACCUGUCGAUGUCCUGGUAUCUACCCUGGGGGACACAGGGACACUACAUCAUCAAGACAGUACCAGAUUCUGGAGCUGCAGAUAUUCCCACAUGGGAAAUACUCACUCAACAUCUAAAAUGAGCCUUGUAAGAAUUUAAUAAAAAGCUGUGGUUCUCUGUA